UAUAUUUUGGUGUAUGAUGCACAGGAAGUUUUGGGCUUCCGGGUUUUAGUUUAAUUCUAAAAAAUAUAA
rnacentral:tRNA from 1 species